rnacentral:rRNA from 1 species
CCUACGGGAGGCAGCAGUCGGGAAUAUUGCGCAAUGGAGGAAACUCUGACGCAGUGAAGCCGCGUAUAGGAAGAAGUUUUUCGGAAUGUAAACCAUCGUUGUUAGGGGAGAGAAAGGACAGUAGUUAAGGAGGAAGCUCCGGCUAACUACGUGCCAGAAGCCGCGGUUAUACGCAGGGAGCGAGCGUUAUCCGGAAUUAUUGGGGGUAAAGGGGGCGUAGACGGGAAAACAAGUUAGUCGUGAAAUCUCUCGGCUUAACUGAGGAACUGCCACUAAAACUAGUUGUCUUGAGUGCACGAGAGGUAAGCGGAAUGCCUGGUGUAGCGGUGAAAUGCAUAGAUAUUAGGAAGAACGCCAGUGGCGAAGGCGACUUACUGGCCUGUAACUGACGUUGAGGCACGAAAGUGUGGGGAGCAAACAGGAUUAGAUACCCCGGUAGUC